rnacentral:rRNA from 1 species
CCUACGGGUGGCAGCAGUGGGGAAUAUUGCACAAUGGGCGCAAGCCUGAUGCAGCCAUGCCGCGUGUAUGAAGAAGGCCUUCGGGUCGUAAAGUACUUUCAGCGAGGAGGAAGGCAUUAAGGUUAAUAACCUUGGUGAUUGACGUUACUCGCAGAAGAAGCACCGGCUAACUCCGUGCCAGCAGCCGCGGUAAUACGGAGGGUGCAAGCGUUAAUCGGAAUUACUGGGCGUAAAGCGCACGCAGGCGGUUUGUUAAGUCGGAUGUGAAAUCCCCGGGCUCAACCUGGGAACUGCAUUCGAAACUGGCAGGCUGGAGUCUUGUAGAGGGGGGUAGAAUUCCAGGUGUAGCGGUAAAAUGCGUAGAGAUCUGAAGGAAUACCGGUGGCGAAGGCGGCCCCCUGGACAAAGACUGACGCUCAGGUGCGAAAGCGUGGGGAGCAAACAGGAUUAGAUACCCUCGUAGUC